GAUGAACGCUGGCGGCGUGCCUAAUACAUGCAAGUCGAGCGAGCUGAUUCUUCGGAUGAAGCUAGCGGCGGACGGGUGAGUAACACGUGGGCAACCUGCCUCAUAGAGGGGAAUAGCCUUCCGAAAGGAAGAUUAAUACCGCAUAAGAUUGCAGCUUCGCAUGAAGCAGCAAUUAAAGGAGCAAUCCGCUAUGAGAUGGGCCCGCGGCGCAUUAGCUAGUUGGUGAGGUAACGGCUCACCAAGGCGACGAUGCGUAGCCGACCUGAGAGGGUGAUCGGCCACAUUGGGACUGAGACACGGCCCAGACUCCUACGGGAGGCAGCAGUGGGGAAUAUUGCACAAUGGGGGAAACCCUGAUGCAGCAAUGCCGCGUGAGUGAUGACGGCCUUCGGGUUGUAAAGCUCUGUCUUCGGGGACGAUAAUGACGGUACCCGAGGAGGAAGCCACGGCUAACUACGUGCCAGCCGCCGCAGUAAGAC
rnacentral:rRNA from 1 species